GUGCGGGUAGGAUGCUGGCACCGCUGGGCUGCCGGCACGCCCGCGUCUGCUCCGCUCCUGCUGUUGCUGCCCUGGAGAGCCAUUUCCCUGUGGCACAACACUUCGGCAGCGCUGUCAACGCUGGCGUGGUUCAUCCUCUAAUAACUCAAAUGCAUCUUGGAUAGAUAUCAGCCUCACGGACAGUAAUGGCACAUAUUCCACUUUGCAUUCAUUUCCCAGUUUCCAGUAAAAUAUAAAAGCAGCCUCGGCAUUUCAAGGCAAUUACAUAGAAGGGUCAGGAGAUAGAGGCCGACACAGAGGAGCUGGACAACGUCACGUCUUCUAAUGCAUUGGCAUAACGUGAUAAGGCUCUCCAUCACACCACGUGAAAUAUUCGGAUGCCAUGACUAUGCCCGGGGGCUGCACUGAGGCUGCUGGGUAUCUGCAGAGGUGUUUGCAUCGGCUGAGGGAUGCAGGCAGGCUGCAGCUCCCACAGCAUUGGGCUUCUGUGCUUCCUCCUUCUUCGGGUUCCUUUAGCCUAGAAAUACUCCAAACGUUGUCCAAGG
rnacentral:lncRNA from 1 species